CUAGAAGAGGGGGUGGAAAUGUGAUCUAGAUUUUUGAUGAAAAUAAAUGUUUUUUAAGUUCUUCAACAAGAAACAUGAACAUACACUGGAUAAAGCAAAUUGUUAUAGUUUUCAUACAUUUUGGGGGUAUAGACUCACAGGACAGCGUCCAACAGAAUACCCGUUUUCAAACCGCUUUUGAAGGUGAAGCUGUGACAAUCAGCUGUACAUACCAAACUUCUACAUCUCCAACUCUCUUCUGGUACCAACAAAAAGUAAAUGGAUUCCCAAAAUACAUGCUGAACAGAGUUGGUGAAUUUGGAGAUGAAGACAAAGAGUUCAAGGAGAGAUUUAAUGCAGUUCUCGACAGCUCUUCAAAAUCAGUUCCACUUACAAUCCAGGAUCUGCGUGUGUCUGACUCUGCUGUGUACUACUGCGCUCUGAAGCCCACAGUGACUAAAACACAUUCAACACUCAGACAAAAACCUGCAUGAGAUUCAUGGUGGUCUUACCACUAUUUUGUCUCCUAAAUAAUAUGCUUUGUAUUUUUUG